GGAUGAGCCCGCGGCCUAUCAGYUUGUUGGUGGGGUGAUGGCCUACCAAGGCGACGACGGGUAGCCGGCCUGAGAGGGCGACCGGYCACACUGGGACUGWGACACGGCCCASACUCCUACGGSAGGCAGCAGUGGGGAAUACUGCGCAAUGGGCGGAAGCCUGACGCAGCGACGCCGCGUGGGGGAUGACGGCCUUCGGGUUGUAAACCUCUUUCGGCCCCGACGAAGCGUGAGUGACGGUAGGGGUAGAAGAAGCACCGGCCAACUACGUGCCAGCAGCCGCGGUAACACGUAGGGUGCGAGCGUUGUCCGGAAUUAUUGGGCGUAAAGAGCUCGUAGGCGGCUUGUCACGUCGGAUGUGAAAGCCCGGGGCUUAACCCCGGGUCUGCAUUCGAUACGGGCAGGCUAGAGUUCGGUAGGGGAGAUCGGAAUUCCUGGUGUAGCGGUGAAAUGCGCAGAUAUCAGGAGGAACACCGGUGGCGAAGGCGGAUCUCUGGGCCGAUACUGACGCUGAGGAGCGAAAGCGUGGGGAGCGAACAGGAUUAGAUACCCUGGUAGUCCACGCCGUAAACGUUGGGAACUAGGUGUGGGCGACAUUCCACGUUGUCCGCGCCGCAGCUAACGCAUUAAGUUCCCCGCCUGGGGAGUACGGCCGCAAGGCUAAAACUCAAAGGAAUUGACGGGGGCCCGCACAAGCGGCGGAGCAUGUGGCUUAAUUCGACGCAACGCGAAGAACCUUAC
rnacentral:rRNA from 1 species